AGGGAGAAUCCGGUCCCUUGGCUAGGGAGAAAGGCAAGAAAUUAGAAACAGCUGUAUUACCUCUUCAUCCCCAGGAGAUGGAGGCUGUGGCCUGUUUGGAACUGGCAAGGGGGCUCUCAGUUCCCUCCUAUCUCAUCCAAGUGACAGGGCAGAUGAAUUUGAGGAGCCUAGAAACUCAGGAGUACAGACAAAUAAGGCAAUGCAGGCACAUCUUUUGGGAACCAUAAUUCUGCACAUUCAGCUGGUUGUAGUGGCCCCACAGUUGUGGGAUGCUCUGCCCACUUCCAGCACUGGAGAGCAAACCCAGAGCCGCAGGAAUGCUAGAGGUCUCUGUUUCAGUUCCUGCCUCCACGUACCUGCUUUGAGCUCCUUCCUUGACUUCCUCGGAUAACGGACUGUGCACACCUGCCCGUCAAAUAAGCCCUUCCUCCCCCCCCCCCCCCGCCCCCAGCUGCUGUUGGUUACAACGUUGGUGACAGCAGCAGAGAAGUAACCAGCACGCUGACGUGCAAAGCCUAGUUCCUGGUGAGACUACAGCAGUCUACCCUUCAUCCCAGACACCUCCAUC